AUCUUUUUUUUUCAAGAAAAAUCAGCACACAACUUAGAUCUUGUGGAAGAAAGAGAGAACAUCUUUCUCUAUACUUGGCUUGAAUUCGGGAUGCCCAACCUUUGGGUGUGUGGAACAAGGAGGACACCCAACUCCUUUGGGUGUGGGGCAUGAGAGAGAGAGAGAGAAAGAGAGGGUGUGAGGCAUAGAGAGGGAGCGCAGGCUUUUGGCUCUCUAGGGUUAGGGUUUUGAGAUCUUAUCUUAAGGGGUUUAAAUAGAACCAAAAGGACCUCUAAAAGGUUUCAGAUCAUGACUGAUUCAAUGCCUUA
rnacentral:lncRNA from 1 species